rnacentral:rRNA from 1 species
AGAGUUUGAUCCUGGCUCAGGAUGAACGCUAGCGGAGGCUUAACACAUGCAAGCCGAGCGGUAGAGAUCUUUCGGGAUCUUGAGAGCGGCGUACGGGUGCGGAACACGUGUGCAACCUGCCUUUAUCAGGGGAUAGCCUUUCGAAAGGAAGAUUAAUACCCCAUAAUAUAUUAAGUGGCAUCAUUUGAUAUUGAAAACUCCGGUGGAUAGAGAUGGGCACGCGCAAGAUUAGAUAGUUGGUAGGGUAACGGCCUACCAAGUCAGUGAUCUUUAGGGGGCCUGAGAGGGUGAUCCCCCACACUGGUACUGAGACACGGACCAGACUCCUACGGGAGGCAGCAGUGAGGAAUAUUGGACAAUGGGUGAGAGCCUGAUCCAGCCAUCCCGCGUGAAGGACGACGGCCCUAUGGGUUGUAAACUUCUUUUGUAUAGGGAUAAACCUUUCCACGUGUGGAAAGCUGAAGGUACUAUACGAAUAAGCACCGGCUAACUCCGUA